CCAGACUCCUACGGGAGGCAGCGGUGGGGGAUAUUGCACAAUGGGGGGAACCCUGAUGCAGCGACGCCGCGUGGGUGAAGGAGUGCUUCGGCAUGUAAAGCCCUAUCGGCAGGGAAGAAGCAAGACGGUACCUGACUAAGAAGCCCCGGCUAACUACGUGCCAGCAGCCGCGGUAAUACGUAGGGGGCAAGCGUUAUCCGGAUUUACUGGGUGUAAAGGGAGCGUAGACGGUAAUGCAAGUCUGGAGUGAAAGGCGGGGGCCCAACCCCCGGACUGCUCUGGAAACUGUGUAACUGGAGUGCAGGAGAGGCAGGCGGAAUUCCUAGUGUAGCGGUGAAAUGCGUAGAUAUUAGGAGGAACACCAGUGGCGAAGGCGGCCUGCUGGACUGUAACUGACGUUGAGGCUCGAAAGCGUGGGGAGCAAACAGGAUUAGAUACCCCCGUAUA
rnacentral:rRNA from 1 species